AAAAUAAAAAAAAAAUCCUCUGACACUUUUUGAAAGCUAAUUAUUUUUUAAACUAUCUUUGAAACAGCCACACACACAGCACUUUAUUCUUUCUCAGCAGGAGUGGGGGGUCCAUCAAAUAGUCUACUUCUGCACAUCAGUGGGGCUUCUGGAUUUAAGUGAAACCAAAUGAGUUGAUGUCUCCUUUAUUAAAUGCAUAAGAUAUUCUUUCUUUUUUUUUUUUAAAGAGCAUCAUAUAAUUCUCUCCCUGUCUUAUACAUGACAUGACCGUUGGUUUGACAUUUUCACCAUGCAGAGUGCGCUGCAAUGUGUUUCCAAUCGGUGAGAGAUGUGAAACCCACGAUGGGACAUGCACGCUGCCCUUUGAAAUGAUGCACCAGGGGGAAAACAUAAACAAAUGUUUGCCACCAAGCACGUUCAAAUCACCCCUCCUCCGUUCAUUGCUCGCCCACCCCCGCUCUCGAAAAAGCCACAGCCUCACAUGUGACACAUUACCAGCAAAGCAGAAAACAUGUUUUUGGAAUUAAACUAUUACGAGGCUUCCAAACAAGAUAAAUUUCCUAAUUGGCUCCUUUCACAACAUUUACAUAUUGCCCUUUUUUUUCCAAGGAGGUGGGUGCCAUUGGUUUGCUGGGUGUGAUGUAGAAGUGUCCCGUGGAGGUAAAGUUUAUGAGAAACGGUCUGAUGGCGAAUCACUGCGGGACAGAACCACACUGGGAGAAAAAGAGUGGCCGUGUCGACAUGCGAAGCAAAACAAACAGUCUUACUUCUAAGCCUUGGCAGACCCUGCUGACGGGUCUCUCGGUUUCUCAGCUUUCCUCCCAGAUGCCUUUUAAGCCUUUUAUUCUGUUUUUUUUACAGGGACUCUUUUUUUUUUUUCUUUUUGCUGCUUUGGGUGUGUGUGUCUUUAAUCUCAAGGCGAAAAGCGAGAAUGGGAGAAAGACUCAAAAGGGGUACAAGGUCCACUGUGAAAGAGGUGUACGUUAGUUUCAAUUAGCCUUCUAUAGCAUUUGAUUUAUAGACACAUUCACACCCACACGCUUGCAAAUAAUCCUGCAACAAUACACGUAGCCUAUGUGAAACAAUAACGUCAAAAAGGCCAAAUCUUGCUGAACCAAAAAUAGCUUCACACCGCACUUUAACAGCUCCUCACUUUCGCUGUCAAGUUGAGCAAACACAGACGUCACAACUAUCAGAGGAGUCUUCCUUCUCCCUCUCCCC
ensembl:lncRNA